rnacentral:rRNA from 1 species
UACGUAUGGUGCAAGCGUUAUCCGGAUUUACUGGGUGUAAAGGGAGCGCAGGCGGUGCGGCAAGUCUGAUGUGAAAGCCCGGGACUCAACCCCGGUACUGCAUUGGAAACUGUCGUACUAGAGUGUCGGAGGGGUAAGCGGAAUUCCUAGUGUAGCGGUGAAAUGCGUAGAUAUUAGGAGGAACACCAGUGGCGAAGGCGGCUUACUGGACGAUAACUGACGCUGAGGCUCGAAAGCGUGGGGAGCAAACAGG